rnacentral:rRNA from 2 species
AAAGGUGUCUAUAGCGACGGAGAUCCACCUCUUCCCAUCCCGAACAGAGAAGUUAAGCCCGUCAGCGCCGAUGGUACUGCCUUCAGGUGGGAGAGUAGGUCGAUGCCGAAU